UACCAGCACCCCGAGUGGUCGGGACGUUUAUUGGGCGUAAAGAGCUCGUAGGCGGUGUGUCACGUCGGCCGUGAAAACCUGCAGCUUAACUGUGGGCGUGCGGUCGAUACGGGCAUCACUGGAGUUCGGCAGGGGAGACUGGAAUUCCUGGUGUAGCGGUGAAAUGCGCAGAUAUCAGGAGGAACACCGGUGGCGAAGGCGGGUCUCUGGGCCGAUACUGACGCUGAGGAGCGAAAGCGUGGGGAGCGAACAGG
rnacentral:rRNA from 1 species